GGUCGUGUGGUGUAGUGGUUAUCAUGUUUCCUUUACACGGAAAAGGCCGCAGGUUCGAACCCUGCCACGAUCA
rnacentral:tRNA from 11 species